rnacentral:sRNA from 1 species
CCGUGGCCAUAUUGGCUCAAG